rnacentral:rRNA from 1 species
UACGGAGGGUGCAAGCGUUAUCCGGAUUCACUGGGUUUAAAGGGCGCGUAGGUGGCUUUGUAAGUCAGUGGUGAAAUGUCGCGGCUCAACCGCGAAACUGCCAUUGAUACUGCUUAGCUUGAAUCACGUCGAGGUGGAUGGAAUAUUACAUGUAGCGGUGAAAUGCUUAGAUAUGUAAUAGAACACCGAUUGCGAAGGCAGUUCACUAGGCGUGUAUUGACACUGAGGCUCGAAAGCGUGGGGAUCAAACAGG